GGGGUCUGUGGUACUGGGUGGUGUCUGUGGUACUGGGUGGUGUCUAUGUCCAUGGGUGAUGUCUGUGGUACUGGUUGGUGUCUGUGGUACUGGGUGGUGUCUGUGACCCUGGGUGGUGUCUAUUACCCUAGGUGGUGUCUGUGGUACUGGGUGGUGUCUGUGACUGUGGGUGGUGUCUGUGGUACUGGGUGGUGUGUGUGGUACUGGGUGGGGUGGUGUCUGUGGUACUGGGUGGUGUCUGCGGUAUUGGAUGGUGUCUGUGGUACUGGGUGGUGUCUGUGACCCUGGGUGGUGUCUGUGACCCUGGGAGGUGUCUGUGGUACUGGGUGGUGUCUGUGGUACUGGG
ensembl:lncRNA